rnacentral:lncRNA from 1 species
CGAAGAACUUCUUAGCUCCUCCUCGUUCAUCCCUCUUGUCAAACUUCUCUCUCUACCAACUUGUUCCUGCUCUGACUUCCAUCUAAGCUCACAUUUCUUGGCUGUCUAAAAAAUGAGAGCUCAAAGGGUCCUUAUAUAGGACUUCCCAAGCUUCCUCACCAAGUUGGACACUUAAUGUUUGUUUCCUUAUUUGGCUUCGUCAAAGAUCACCAUCAAUAACUUGAUGGAUCUAUACAAUAUUUUCCUUAUAAGUUUCAGCAUACCCGACCUUCCUUCAAUAAUCCUGCAGUAAUCAUUAACCAAACCUUCUUUGAUUUGAACCCGCAAAGUCCUAUAGUUGAACAUUACUUAAUUAUUUUAGCGG